AGCAAGAGUAACAAAUUACGAUGUCACGUGUUGUUGUGUGUGGCUGAGGGAGAGUAUGGAGACGAGAGAGAAACAAAUUGGAUAAGUGAGGAAGGUAGAUUAGGGUUAGGCAAGGGUUUCUGAUUUUUUUUUCAAUUGGGACAACAGUAAGGAUGACAGAGAGAAAAUGUUGGAGUGAGAGAGAUGAAAGAGAAAGGGUUGAGAGGGAUGAGGGAGAUGAGUAAGGGUUUGGGGGUUUUUUUUUCGUUAGCUUUGAGAAUGAAAAUUAUUUAAAUAUUAUUGACCUUAAAACUUAGAAUCCAUGAUAAAUGAGGGUAUUUUGUCUACUAUAAUCCGGAACACAUUGUUAAAACGUACCAACUAAAAAAUAGGCGUACGCGUGUUAACAAAUCAUAUAUAUAUAUAUAUAUAUAUAUAUAUAUAUAUAUAUAUAUAUAUAGGGGUUUGCUAACUUGCAUACGCCUGUUUUUCAGUUGGUACAUUUUAGCAAUGUGUACCAGAUUUCAGUAGACAAAAAUACCCUUAUAUAUCAUGAAUUGAGUUUUAAGGUUAAGGAUAUUUUAAUAAUUUUCAUUUUCAAAAUUAAAAAAAAUAAAAAAAGAAACCCUCCAAACCCUUACCCAGCUCUCUCAUCUCUCACAACCCUUCCUCUUUCAUCUCUUUCACUCAAACCUUUUCUCUGUCAUCCCUACUCUAGCUCCAAUUGAAAAAAAAUUAAACACUUUCCUUAUUUUAAAAAUUUUCAUUCUCAAAACUGAAAAAAGAAACCCCAAACCCUUACUCACCUCUUUCAUUCCUCUCAACCCUUUUUCCUUCAUCUCUCUCACUCAAACAUUUUCUCUGUCAUCUCUGCACAAGCUCCAACUAAAAAAACACUCAUUAUUAAACAAUUUACUUUUGUAAAGAGUUGAGUCAUUGACAUAUUCACCUUCCGAAAAAAGUUCAUUCAUAAUCUCUUUAAUUUCAUUAUCUUCACUAUAUAUAUUACAGCCGACUG
rnacentral:lncRNA from 1 species